AUUGAACGCUGGCGGCAGGCUUAACACAUGCAAGUCGAGCGCGCGGCGGACGGGUGUGUAAUGUCUGGAAAACUGCCUGAUGGAGGGGGAUAUCUACUGGACACGGUAUCUAAUACCGCAUACCAUCAGAUGUGCCCAGAUGGGAUUCGCUAGUAGGUGAGGUAAUGGCUCACCUAGGCGACGAUCCCUAGCUGGUCUGAGAGGAUGACCAGCCACACUGGAACUGAGACACGGCCCAGACUCCUACGGGAGGCAGCAGUGGGGAAUAUUGCACAAUGGGCGCAAGCCUGAUGCAGCCAUGCCGCGUGUGUGAAGAAGGCCUUCGGGUUGUAAAGUACUUUCAGCGAGGAGGCGUUACUCGCAGAAGAAGCACCGGCUAACUCCGUGCCAGCCGCCGCGGUAAUUC
rnacentral:rRNA from 1 species